GUUCUCUUUGUAUAGAAGUCAGAGCCAAACAUUCUUUGCAGCUGGUUGUGACAGGCCCACCCAGUAAAGUUCAUGCCUCCACAAUGCACAGCAAACGUUUUCCUUAAAUAUGUUGAUUGAGUUGAAAGGACAGAACUUUCUCUUUUACAAAUCAAAAUCAACGAUGGUUUCUAAUAUUUAGUCGACUUUAUUGACUCAAAAAUAAAUCUGAACUACUUCCUAUGCACAAUUUGUUCUGAAUCAUCAAAUCAGUUCGACACAGGUUUUAAACAUUAAGCACAAUCUAUCCCAAAUGCAAGAUCCCUCCUUUCAUUUUUUAUUUAUCUAUUUUAUUUUGGGAAAAUAACUACCAGUUUUUUACUCAAAACAGCCUAGUACAGUUUCUAGCUAGGUUACAGGAAAUAAUACUUAGUUUAUCUGUUUUUUCAUUAUUCAGCGUCCCAAAAUCCAGCCAUUAACGUUAAUGGUUCUUAAAGUUGAGGUAAGACAAUUAUUGGAUUUUGUUUUAUAGCAAGAUUUAACAAAUAUUUUAUUUCCUGACUGAUUAUUUGUUAAUUUUAUGGUUUUCAUAAAGAUGAUCCUGAGAGGUUCAGAGCUGCUUUUCGUAGCACCCUGUGCUAUUUUUAGACUGCGGAACUCCUGUGUGUAAAAGUGGGUGGAGUCAGGUCCUCAGGCUGAAACUCCAGUCAUUCUCACUAGAUCUGUCCGAGAGGAAGGAUCUCCUGAAUACCCUAACCAGAAGCCUUAAGUCUCUCGAACUAAAUAACCGUCUAGUAAAAACAUGGACCGCACCCUGUUUCUCAAGCAGCUGCUCCCUCUAUUAAAAACUGAGUCAUUCAGAAGAUCCAGCGAAAGCAGCUCAUGCAAGAAGACACACAUUCACUCAUUCACAAGGCACAGAGACAUUCUUUGUUUGUCACAGUCUCUUUUUAUUAUUAUUAUUAUUUUUUUAAGGUAAGUCAGUUCGUCACUUAUUUAUUCUCUCUCUAUAUAUAUAUAAUAUUUUAAGCACAGAAUUUAUUUAACACUGCACUGGUUAUUUUCAGAAUUUAAUGCUUACUAUGCUUUUAAGCAGGCCUUAUGUAACAUUAGAGCAAAUCCAAUUGCAAUUUUUUUGAGAGCGCUCUGAGGAAUAGUUUAUAUAUUUAUUUUCUGCAGAUCUGUUUUGAUUUUACUGUUUAGCAGCUAUAUGACUAUAUUUCUAAAAUAAAGCUGUCAUUUACAUCCUUA